rnacentral:rRNA from 1 species
AGUCGAGGGGCAGCAUGAUUUGUAGCAAUACAGAUUGAUGGCGACCGGCGCACGGGUGAGUAACGCGUAUGCAACUUACCUAUCAGAGGGGGAUAGCCCGGCGAAAGUCGGAUUAAUACCCCAUAAAACAGGGGUCCCGCAUGGGAAUAUUUGUUAAAGAUUCAUCGCUGAUAGAUAGGCAUGCGUUCCAUUAGGCAGUUGGCGGGGUAACGGCCCACCAAACCGACGAUGGAUAGGGGUUCUGAGAGGAAGGUCCCCCACAUUGGUACUGAGACACGGACCAAACUCCUACGGGAGGCAGCAGUGAGGAAUAUUGGUCAAUGGCCGAGAGGCUGAACCAGCCAAGUCGCGUGAAGGAAGAAGGAUCUAUGGUUUGUAAACUUCUUUUAUAGGGGAAUAAAGUGGAGGACGUGUCCUUUUUUGUAUGUACCCUAUGAAUAAGCAUCGGCUAACUCCGUGCCAGCAGCCGCGGUAAUACGGAGGAUGCGAGCGUUAUCCGGAUUUAUUGGGUUUAAAGGGUGCGUAGGUGGUGAUUUAAGUCAGCGGUGAAAGUUUGUGGCUCAACCAUAAAAUUGCCGUUGAAACUGGGUUACUUGAGUGUGUUUGAGGUACGCGGAAUGCGUGGUGUAGCGGUGAAAUGCAUAGAUAUCACGCAGAACUCCGAUUGCGAAGG